rnacentral:rRNA from 1 species
CGGACGGGUGAGUAAUGCUUGGGAAUCUGGCUUAUGGAGGGGGAUAACGACGGGAAACUGCCGCUAAUACCGCGUAGAAUCGAGAGAUGAAAGUGCGGGACCGCAAGGCCGCAUGCCAUAGGAUGAGCCCAAGUGGGAUUAGGUAGUUGGUGGGGUAAAGGCCUACCAAGCCGACGAUCUCUAGCUGGUCUGAGAGGAUGACCAGCCACACCGGGACUGAGACACGGCCCGG